rnacentral:rRNA from 1 species
AACGAACGCUGGCGGCAUGCCUAACACAUGCAAGUCGAACGAGAACUUCGGGCCUAGUGGCGCACGGCUGCGUAACGCGUGGGAACCUGCCCUUAGGUUCGGAAUAACUCACUGAAAGGUGUCCUCAUACCGGAUAAUGUCUUACGACCAAAGAGUGAUGGCCUUGGGAUGGGCGCGCGUUGGAUUAGCUAGUUGGUAGGGUAAAAGCGUAUCAAGGCGACGUUCCAUAGCUGGUCUGAGAGGAUGAUCAGCAACGCUGGGGCUAAGACACAGCCUAGAGUCCUACGCAAUGCAGGAGUGUGGAAUAUUGGACGAUGGGGGAAAGCCUGAUCCAGCAAUGCCGCGUAAGUGGUGAAGGCCUUAGGGUAGUAAAGCUCUUUUACCCGGGAUGAUAAUGACAGUACCGGGAGAAUAAGCACCGGCUAACUCCGUG